rfam:Heterorhabditis bacteriophora unplaced genomic scaffold Scaffold1290, whole genome shotgun sequence.
UUUACAGUUAUGGCGACCUAGUACCUCUGAGUCCACAAGGGAAGAUCGUCGGAUCUAUGUGUGCUUUAAUUGGAGUGCUUACACUGGCCUUACCUGUACCUAUUAUUGUAUGUCAA